CCAGACUCCUACGGGAGGCAGCAGUGAGGAAUAUUGGUCAAUGGGCGAGAGCCUGAACCAGCCAAGUCGCGUGAGGGAAGACGGUCCUAUGGGUUGUAAACCUCUUUUGUCAGGGAACAAAGGCGGGGACGUGUCCCCGGAUGAGUGUACCUGAAGAAAAAGCAUCGGCUAACUCCGUGCCAGCAGCCGCGGUAAUACGGAGGAUGCGAGCGUUAUCCGGAUUUAUUGGGUUUAAAGGGUGCGCAGGCGGAGGUGCAAGUCAGCGGUCAAAUUGCGGGGCUCAACCCCGUACUGCCGUUGAAACUGCAUCCCUUGAGUGCGCGAGAAGUAUGCGGAAUGCGUGGUGUAGCGGUGAAAUGCAUAGAUAUCACGCAGAACUCCGAUUGCGAAGGCAGCAUACCGGCGCGCAACUGACGCUCAUGCACGAAAGCGUGGGUAUCGAACAGGAUUAGAUACCCUUGUACC
rnacentral:rRNA from 1 species